GUGGCCGUGCGGGUGCUAUACAUGCAGUCGAGCGCAGGAAGUUAUCUGAUCCUCUUUUAGAGGUGACGAUAAUGGAAUGAGCGGCGGACGGGUGAGUAACACGUAGGCAACCUGCCUGUAAGACUGGGAUAACUCGUGGAAACGCGAGCUAAUACCGGAUAACACUUUUCAUCUCCUGAUGAUAAGUUGAAAGGCGGCUUUUGCUGUCACUUACAGAUGGGCCUGCGGCGCAUUAGCUAGUUGGUAAGGUAAUGGCUUACCAAGGCGACGAUGCGUAGCCGACCUGAGAGGGUGAUCGGCCACACUGGGACUGAGACACGGCCCAGACUCCUACGGGAGGCAGCAGUAGGGAAUCUUCCGCAAUGGACGAAAGUCUGACGGAGCAACGCCGCGUGAGUGAUGAAGGUUUUCGGAUCGUAAAACUCUGUUGUUAGGGAAGAACAAGUGCCAUAGUAACUGAUGGCACCUUGACGGUACCUAACCAGAAAGCCACGGCUAACUACGUGCCAGCAGCCGCGGUAAUACGUAGGUGGCAAGCGUUGUCCGGAAUUAUUGGGCGUAAAGCGCUCGCAGGCGGUUCUUUAAGUCUGAUGUGAAAUCUUACGGCUCAACCGUAAACGUGCAUUGGAAACUGGGGAACUUGAGUGCAGAAGAGGAGAGUGGAAUUCCACGUGUAGCGGUGAAAUGCGUAGAGAUGUGGAGGAACACCAGUGGCGAAGGCGACUCUCUGGUCUGUAACUGACGCUGAGGAGCGAAAGCGUGGGGAGCGAACAGGAUUAGAUACCCUGGUAGUCACGCCGUAAACGAUGAGUGCUAGUGUUAGGGGGUUUCCGCCCUUAGUGCUGAAGUUACGCAUUAAGCACUCCGCCUGGGGAGUACGGCGCAAGGCUGAAACUCAAAAGAUUGACGGGGGCCGCCAGCGGUGAGCAUGUGGUUAUUCGAAUCACGCGAAGAACUUACAGUCUUGACUCCUCUGAACACUCUAAGAUAGAGUUUCCAUCCGGCACAAUGCAGUUGGUCAUGGUGUCAGCGUCUCUGUCUGAAAGUUGGUUAUUCCCGCACAGGCGCAUCCUUGACUAUUUGCCAUCAUGUGUACUCAGUGGCUUGCGGGACAUCCCGAUGAAAGGGAAGAACUGUACUAUCUGCCCUUAUAGUCUGC
rnacentral:rRNA from 1 species